rnacentral:rRNA from 1 species
AUUGAACGCUGGCGGCAGGCCUAACACAUGCAAGUCGAGCGGAUGAAGGGAGCUUGCUCCUGGAUUCAGCGGCGGACGGGUGAGUAAUGCCUAGGAAUCUGCCUGGUAGUGGGGGAUAACGUCCGGAAACGGGCGCUAAUACCGCAUACGUCCUGAGGGAGAAAGUGGGGGAUCUUCGGACCUCAUGCUAUCAGAUGAGCCUAGGUCGGAUUAGCUAGUUGGUGGGGUAAAGGCCUACCAAGGCGACGAUCCGUAACUGGUCUGAGAGGAUGAUCAGUCACACUGGAACUGAGACACGGUCCAGACUCCUACGGGAGGCAGCAGUGGGGAAUAUUGGACAAUGGGCGAAAGCCUGAUCCAGCCAUGCCGCGUGUGGGAAGAAGGUCUUCGGAUUGUAAAGCACUUUUAGUUGGGAGGAAAGGGAGUAAGUUAAUACCUUGCUGUUUUGACGGUACCAACAGAAUAAGCACCGGCUAACUUCGUG